CAUCUUUAAUCGGUUUAAAGGGUACCUAGACGGAAAAUCAAGCUUAAUUAAACUAAGGACUAGUUUUCUAGAGUUUGACAUGAGAAGGUACGAACUAUCAGAGGAGAGAUAAAAUUUGUUGAUACUGGUGGGACGGACAACGGCGAAGGCAAUCUUCUACUAAAAACUGACGUUGAGGGACGAAGCCUUGGGGAGCGAGAAGGAUUAGAUACCCUAGUAGUCCUUGGAGAAAAUUAUGAGUGCCAUAGACUAAAGUGAAAAAGAAGUUCUUUUAAAAGAACUUUGUAUCUGAGCCUUAAUUGGAUACAAAGGUCUCGAGUAGCAGUUUAUAAAUGAAAGUGUAAGCAUUCCACCUCAUGACUAAAGCGGCAACGCCCAAAUUGAAAUCAUUAGACCGUUUCUGAAACCAGUAGUGAAGUAUGUUAUUUAAUUCGAUAACCCGCGAAUAACCUUACCACGUUUUGAAUUUAUUAAACAAGUGUUGCACGGCUGUCUUCAGUUAAUGUCGUGAGAUUUUGGUUUGUUCCAUUAAUUAACGAAAACCCUUGUUUCAUUUUUAUAUGAAAUAGUUCACCGUUAUAUUGGAAAGAUAAAAGGGAUCAAGACAAGUCAUCAUGGCCUUAAUAAC
rnacentral:rRNA from 1 species